GGUAGCGCUUCGGCGCACCCGUUGCUUCGGCGGUCACGCCCCGGCGCCCUGUUGCCUCGGACCCAGGCGCCCGCCGGAGACCCCAAACCCUCUGUCUUUAGUGGUUUUCUCCUCUGAGUGACAUAAACAAAUAAAUAAAAACUUUCAACAACGGAUCUCUUGGCUCUGGCAUCGAUGAAGAACGCAGCGAAAUGCGAUAAGUAAUGUGAAUUGCAGAAUUCAGUGAAUCAUCGAAUCUUUGAACGCACAUUGCGCCCGCCAGUAUUCUGGCGGGCAUGCCUGUUCGAGCGUCAUUUCAACCCUCAGGCCCCCAGUGCCUGGCGUUGGGGAUCGGCGCGGCGUCCCUCCGGGGGCGCUGCCGGCCCCGAAAUUCAGUGGCGGUCUCGCUGUAGCCCUCCUCCGCGUAGUAGCACAACCUCGCGGCCUGGAGCUCGGCGGUGGCCAUGCCGUAAAACACCCCACUUCUGAAAGCCCCAACUUCUGAAAUUUUGACCUCGGAUCAGGUAGGAAUACCCGCUGAACUUAAGCAUAUCAAUAAGCCGGAGGAAGGAUUGUUACGAACGUGCUUCGGGCUCCGGCCGAUCU
rnacentral:rRNA from 1 species